CCGGNGGANCCGGCCGGAGGNNACCGCUUUUAGAGGNCGACCAAGCCANGCAAGNCANANGNNCCACGAGAACAAGGCAAACGGCNCAGNAACACGAGGAUUCCCUGCCCUUGGGUCUGGGAUAACCCCGGGAAACUGGGGAUAAUACCGGAUAACGCAUAUGUGCUGGAAUGCUUUAUGCGUAAAAUGGAUUCGUCCGCCCAAGGAUGGGUCUGCGGCCUAUCAGGUAGUAGUGGGUGUAAUGUACCUACUAGCCAACAACGGGUACGGGUUGUGAGAGCAAGAGCCCGGAGAUGGAUUCUGAGACAUGAAUCCAGGCCCUACGGGGCGCAUCAGGCGCGAAAACUUUACAAUGCGGGAAACCGUGAUAAGGGAACACCGAGUGCCAGCAACAUAUGCUGGCUGUCCAGAUGUGUAAACUACAUCUGUUAACAAGGGCCGGGCAAGACCGGUGCCAGCCGCCGCGGAAACACCGGCGGCCCGAGUGGUGACCGUUAAUAUUGGGUCUAAAGGGU
rnacentral:rRNA from 1 species